UGCAUGUAUUUAAAGGUGCAAUAUGUUAUAUGUUCAAUUUUUUAAAUUACAAAAAAAGUAAAUAAUGAAUACAUAUGUGUUAAUUAUUUGCCAGAUCAUCCUAAAGGCCAGUCUAAUGAUUCUCUGGAGGAGGAAAGGCUCAUCUUGGUAGAGGAAAUGAAGAAGAAAACCAAGAAUGAACUGCUCAUCAAUCAAAAAAUGAGCUUGACUUUCUCCCUCUGACGAAAGGAGAUUGUGGAAGUAGUGCCACUGGUAUCUGAAGUGCUGGAACGAUGGCCUGCCCUGUUUCUUCCAAAUGAGUUAUGUAAUGAGUUCAAAUGCAUCACCAGUGUGGACCUCCUUGAGACAUUCAGAGCAUCAAUACACUAGCACACUCCACAACUCCUCAAGCUAUACAGAGCAAGAAAGGGGGCAUUUGGAACAGAAAUGGAAGAUCUUCUCAACAAUCUUGAUCAGCAGGUAACUUGUUAAUGUCAAAGUUACCAAUAGAUAGAUGGUUUUAAAAAUAGAUUUAUCAGAGCCAUUUGCUAUUUUAUUUUCUAUAAAGAACAUUUUCGGAAGAUAUUUUUGAAGGAUUAUGACAAUGUAUGUCAAGUGUUCACUAGCUGAUUAGAACGAUUUUGGUUCUGAACUUACUGCAUACAAUACUGAUUUCCUAUUUAAGCCAUCUAAUUUGAUUAAUUGGCUCUUAAGCAGAGGCUCUAUGACUUCAAACAUACAUGCAAACUCGUGACAAAAUUGAAUUAAUAACAGUGCAUUACAAUAUUUUUGUUUUUGUUUUGUACCCAUUUUUUUUAGACCACAAAUAUAUCACAGAAAACAAACCAUCCUGGAAGGUCGCCCCAUUUUUCGCCGUGAAGAUUCCUCUGCACUUUUUAAAACAUGCCUGGACAAGACUCCAGAGGACAGACAGACCAGAGGGAUGAAGGUGGGAAUCCUUAUUGUAAUUGAAGAUGAUAUAUAUAUAAUGGAUUUUUAUUUUUAUAAUGUCCUGAAAAUUGCCCAAUUUGGGCGUUUUAAAAGUCAAAAUCAUGAAUUGUGAAACAAAGGUUCCUCCAUAAUCCAUUCUUCUUGUUCAGAUCCUCUGCUUACAAAAAAAAAAGUUAUAUUCCACGCUUGUGGCAUGGAGUGAUAGAAUGGAGUCAAAUUGCUCAAGUCCAGUUCAUUUAUUCUAAUUAAAAACGAUUGCUUAUCAUAUCCAAGACAUGAUGUCCUUCUCAGCAAUACACAUCCCACAUUACUCCACUCGAUCUCCUCUACAUCCUCUAUUUAAAGCUUGAAGACAAAAGAUAUUGAUUUGAUUUCCAAUGUCUACAAGACCUUGUCUUCCUUCUUGAAUUGACAAAUACAAAGCAGGCCCAGGAAUCCAGUGCUGGCCUGACCAAAAUCAAUUCCCCAGGUGGUUCUUGUACCUUUAGCCUGUACCAUAGCAUAGAUGCAGCCAAAUUAUUUAUGACCAGGAGUCUAAUCCUACAGUUCAGGUAAUAGCCAUUUCCAUUUGGACAACUUGGCUGACACCUUAUCCAGCAUCACUUCCUUUUUUUUUUAUAAUUCACUGGACCCUAGAAAACUCGUAAUAUUUUAAUACCUUCUCUUCCCCACUUCAAUCCUCCUGGAAUGUGAGGCAUCACACCAUUCAUCCAAUAACCCAUAAUAAAGCCCUCACAUUUUCCCCAGUUUACCUUUGCAGAAGAAGCUUUUUUUUAAAUAAGGUUCUUACUGAGUGCUUGAAUAUUUUCUUGGCCAGUUACAAAAACAAUUAUGUCAUUUGUAUAUACAGUACAUUCAACCAGUAUAUUACUUGCAAAUGAAUGCCUUCACAAUAAGAACCGUUUCAGCCACUGUGUUUAUAAAAUAAAGAAUUUUAAGAUAGUUGUACUGGAAUUGAAAAUGAAAAACUCAUCUUUAUAAUGUACUGAACAAAAAUCAUUUCCAAAUCAUUCAAAUCUCCGU
ensembl:lncRNA